CAACACACAACACAGCCAACACACACAGCACACACCCACAACACACACACGCAACACACAACUCACACACAGUACACCCAACAAACACACUCUAUACCCAACAACACAUAUUCCAACACACAACACAUGCACACAACAUAGCCAACACACACAAACCCAAUCAAUACAUCACACAAUACACACCCAACAAACAGCCACGACACACACACCCAACACACACACAACUCACACACAACACACCCAACACAUCCAACACACACACCCAACACACACAUCACACAACUCUAUACGGAACCAGGAUCUGAGAGCUCUCCUGUCCUGGGGAAUGGAAUGGGGAGUGGUGAGGGGUUGUGGUCCUUAGUAAUUUGGGUGUGGACCUCCAUAAACCUGCAUUU
rnacentral:lncRNA from 1 species